GAAAGCUGCCCGGAAGGGAGACAGAUGCACAAGUGUGAAGAAUGGCCAGAGCGGCCAGCAAGCCAUAUUAGAAUUCCCCAGAAAAGAAUACUGUCUCUCGGCUCUUGGGAGAUAAAGCUGUAUCCUCAGUGGAAAAGAGGACUCAAAAAAGACGUGGGCUUUGCUGUGACCACUAUUGUUGAAAAUCCAAGAGAAGUUAUUUUAGGUAAGACUCUUAACUGAAUUAGUCUCAGUGUUCAGAAUAAACACUCAGUUGCCUCCAGAAGUGACUAGCAUGACAGAAGUUUGGGGAUGAAUACAGAGGGGUGGGAAAGAUGUAGAGGAAACAAAUUAUGAGUGAGAGUCCAUAACCACGUUUCACAGGUGGAUCAAAUUAAAAAGUAAAAAAGCAACUCCAAACAACUUUUUCACAGAAGACAAAGAAAAAGAAAAAAAGAAAAGAACAAAAGAGAUAAGGUCAUAGAGGCACCAAGUGGUGAAGCAUCAGGGUACAGGCUCCCAAGAGAGGGUUUGCUCCCUCUACUGGAGCAUCCUGAUGGACCCACAAAAAGACUUGCUAGUUUGACCCGCUUCAAAUUCACAUUAAAUCUCUUGGAUUAGGAAAUAAAGAUUAAUGCAGUAUUGACAACCAUUGCUGGCUUACUAUCGCAAGGAUUUGUUAAAGAACUAAGUACUUGAAUAUGCCGAUGAACGCAGAAGGGAGAACUAUUUCAUUGCUUUUGUUUUGAAAAGAAACUAAAUAAAGCAUACAAGUUGAAACCUCUAUUUUCCAAAUCAUAUCAGUUCAGUCAAACUGGAAUACAGGAGACGAAAGAAGAACUUUUCCCUAUCUUAUGUAAUGCAGAAGCACAACUCUUGCUAUAUGACCUUUGCUCUAGGACAGAUUGCUCACCAUCAUUCCUAAACCACAUAUAGAGAAAACCACCUGCCUUCUUGAAUUGUAUGUUCUUUUUGAGUGCAGCUUGGCCUUAGAUACUUUGGCUUAUGAAUAAAUAGCCUAUUCCUACAGCAGAUAGGGAGUAAAUAACUUCUAAAGUAUUUUCAGAGAAAUACAAUCUCACCACUUAGUUAUUUAGUGUCCGUGUUGGAUAAUGUAAGUCAUAGUAGCAUGAUGGAUAAACACACUAAGAAACCAUGACUCAGACUCUGACACAGACCUAUUCUUAUUUG
rnacentral:lncRNA from 1 species